rnacentral:pre_miRNA from 1 species
UAAAUAGUCCCUCCGUCCGAAAAUACUUGUCAUCAAAAUGGAUAAAAAGAGAUGUAUCUAAAACUAAAAUACGUCUAGAUACAUUUCCUUUUAUCCAUUUUGAUGACAAAUAUUUCCGGACGGAGGUAGUAUUUG